GUUUGAGGUAUCUAUUGGAGAUGGCGCAUACGAUUCUUACAUAAUCACUGAUGAAUGGCACUUGGUUUGUGGGAAGAACAUGAGCAAGAUAUGGUACACCAAAGACAGAAACAACAAACCUUGGUAACACGACGAGAAGCAUUGGCAUCUGAGGUAGUCAUCUGCUUCUGCCCUUUACUUAGGAGGCGAGGCAUCUCGGCUCUAAUUCCCAACUCAUCCAGAACAUCCAGUGAAUCUCUAAAACCUCUGUCUACUAUAAAAACAUCAUCGUCAUGGAACCAGCCCUUCAUAUCUUCCACAUUUGUACGAAGCAUAUGAUUAAGGAUGGUGGCAUCAUUAUUUCUAGCGAGGUAUGGUCCGAGAACUGUAGGGAAAUAGCCAUCUGUAGACGUGACAACCAUUGGUUUAACAAGGGGCCUGCCUUUAUGUAAACUACCAAUAAAAUGAGGUACAAAUGAUUUCAUGAGCGCUGCCCGAACUGAUCUUACUGCUCUGCAGAGGGAUGACUUUGAAAUUCUAAAGAUGGUAGCAAGAAGUUGGUUCGACAUGCCUGACCUUAGUUUCAGAAGAAAUAUUCCUAGUGACAUCCUAGUGCCUCGGUUCUGUGUAUUUCGAAUGUCAUUUGAAAUAAAGGAAUGGAGGUCUUCAAAAUUUUCUUUGGAUAUUCCGGUCAGAGUUGUGUAAUCUGCAGUAUUCAUGCUUGAUGGUUCAAAAGAAAAUCUGCUUGUUGAAUUUUGAAUGGCAUAAUUUCUAAUUUUCUUGAUGAGUUCAAGAAUUGUUGUUCUGUUGACAAGUGUUGAUUCCAAAGUGUGCAAAUUGUCAAGAGUACCAGGUGUGAAUUCCCCAUCUUCAACAUGAGAUGGACAGCAUCUGCUUCCAGAUGGAAUAAUGACUUCCUUCUGCAGGAAGGCUGCAAAUCUAGCAGAAGAGGAAACAACAACAAGCUUGGGUCCAGGGCGCUUGCAAAUGAAACAGUAAGCAUGAGAAGAAGGUGUUCUUUGGAUAGGUAAUGAUAUGGAAGGUGGACUGGAUAUUCCUGAUGAUGAUGGAUUUGAAAGUGUUUGUGGAGGCUGUGACACAGGAAGUGGCCCAGAUUGCUUUUGACAUUUUUUUUGGUUGCAAUGGUAUAGAUGUCUACACUUGGUACACAGAAUGUCAUUACUGUUGGCAUCAACAAGAAAGUUCUUACAGAGGAAACGACGGAUAGCUGAAGAUUCACAUUUUUUUCUGUCUUUUGGUUUUGUUCUCUUCUUACAAAGGAUGCAUGGGAAAGACUUUUUAAUUUCUGUU